rnacentral:miRNA from 1 species
CACCUCAUCAACCGGAAGGAUUCCUUCCGGUUGAUGAGGUUGUUCACCUCAUCAACCGGAAGAAUCCCUUCCGGUUGAUGAGGUU